rnacentral:rRNA from 1 species
GAUGAACGCUGGCGGCGUGCCUAAUACAUGCAAGUCGAGCGAACAGACGAGGAGCUUGCUCCUCUGACGUUAGCGGCGGACGGGUGAGUAACACGUGGAUAACCUACCUAUAAGACUGGGAUAACUUCGGGAAACCGGAGCUAAUACCGGAUAAUAUAUUGAACCGCAUGGUUCAAUAGUGAAAGACGGUUUUGCUGUCACUUAUAGAUGGAUCCGCGCCGCAUUAGCUAGUUGGUAAGGUAACGGCUUACCAAGGCAACGAUGCGUAGCCGAACUAAGAGGGUGAUCGGCCACACUGGAACUGAGACACGGUCCAGACUCCUACGGGAGGCAGCAGUAGGGAAUCUUCCGCAAUGGGCGAAAGCCUGACGGAGCAACGCCGCGUGGGGGAUGGAGGUCUUCGGAUCGUAAAACUCUGUUAUUAGGGAAGAACAAAUGUGUAAGUAACUAUGCACGUCUUGACGGUACCUAAUCAGAAAGCCACGGCUAACUACGUG